UACGUAGGGUGCAAGCGUUGUCCGGAAUUAUUGGGCGUAAAGAGCUCGUAGGCGGUUUGUCGCGUCUGCUGUGAAAACUCGGGGCUUAACUCCGGGCCUGCAGUGGGUACGGGCAGACUAGAGUGCGGUAGGGGAGACUGGAAUUCCUGGUGUAGCGGUGAAAUGCGCAGAUAUCAGGAGGAACACCGGUGGCGAAAGCGGCUCGCUGGGACGGUACUGACGCUGAGGCGCGAAAGCGUGGGGAGCAAACAGG
rnacentral:rRNA from 1 species